UUGGCACAGACGCGGAGCUCGAACCCACAAACCGCGAGAUCAUGACCUGAGCAGAAGUUGGAUGCUUAACCGACUGAGCCACCCAGGUACCUUGCAUACUUGGUAACUUUUGAUUGGAUGCUGGAAACGGGGAAACUUACCUUGUUGGGUACUGGGUCGUUUUGUAUUGUUGUGAGUUUCUUGAGUUUAGUUCUGGGAUCUUAGUUGGAAAUAGUCUGAUUCACUUGGGUCUUGCUUCUAAGCUUUGUUACAUGAGGUCAGAGUGGCCAUGUGUUUAGGACUAAUAUUUCCCUGCUACUGAGGCAAAACCCUUCUGAGUACUCUACCCAAAGCUAGGUGAGUUAUGAGGAUUUCCACUUUGGCUGGCAGGAGCCAGCACUAUCUUCUGCCCUAAAGUUCUGAGGAUUCUGCCGCUAGACCCUUCAUGUUGCUUUCUCUCCAUAGAAUUCCCUCAAAUGUGCACACCGAUCGCUACUUAGCCAAUACUUCAGAGUCCCUCUGCAGAGCCAGAGUCCUCUCUGUGGAGCCCUCUCCUCUCCUCUCUGAUACCUUGUGAACUCACAGAGAUCACUGGGCUCCACUCGGACUCUCCUCCCCUAUGCUGCUCUGGAAAUGUCCUCGAGGCGGGCAACUGGGGCAACUGGAGGGCUUACCUCUUUAUGUCUUGAAUCUCAGGGGUCAGCAUCCCUUGCUGUUUGACGUCAGCCAUCUGGAAAACCAUUUGACCGAAUUUUCCGUCGGAUCAGAGUGAAUCCGGUACCUACUCAGCUCAUCUCAGCUUACUUGGGAAUAAAACAAUCUGUGGGCCAGUGUCCCCCAUUUCCACAUCUUCUAGAGGAAAAGAGCUCAGAAACAACCUAGAAUUGGAGGAAUCAACGGGUUUCUUAAAAAGGCAGUGACCGAAAACCAUGAGCAACUCAAGACAACGGCGGCGCCUGCAGAAACAACGCGGUCCUCACCCAAACCACAGGAUUUCCAGGCUCUCCGGCCAGGCACUCUUGCAGAAGCACAUGUUGCCCAAAGUCACACAAUGGCCACACGCCUCCCCCGGGACUCAGAGUCCCCCACAGACUUUCUCCAAACUUCUAACUUGUGAGGAGCUACAAUGGGCAGCCCUUUCUAACACAGUAGGUCAUUUUCCUUGCACGUGAAAGAAAUCUAAGGAAUUCUGUGUGGAAGAACAGACGUUCAUUUUUAGGUCCACGGAGAAUGCUGCCCAGAGGCUUGGGCACUGGGCCGAUGAGAAGUGGCUCUGACACCAGGGGCUGAGGUGGAGACGGAGAAUUCUGCUGUAAGGAUGGGCAGUGGAGGUUCCGUUGUCUUCUCUCGUCCUUUGCCCUGUCCUACGUCUCAAAUCUUAUGUUAGCACCGGGAAAAACAAAACAAAACAAGACAGGAGUAUUUGAUGGUAUUCAUAAACCUACACAGGGUAAUAGAUCUCCCUAACACAGGUCCCCAAGGCCCUGUUUCCUGUUACUGGCAGGCAGCUAAGUCAAGUGUACUUACAAUAUUCUAUUUGUUCUAGACAGAAGUUUAGCUGUAAGACAAAAUGAACAUCUUUGAUUAAGAAUCUAAUUGGAGGGGCGCCUGGGUGGCUCAGUAGGUUAAGUGUCUGACUCUUGACUUCGGCUUGGGUUAUGAUCCCAGGGUUCGAGCCCCAAUCCCCUGCUUGGGAUUCUCUCUCUGUCCCUCGCCGGCUCGCUCACUCCUUUCAAAAUAAAUAAACUUAAAAAAAGACUUAAGAAAAAGAAUCCGAUUGGAAAGUAAAUUGGCUUUUAGAUUAGAAUAGCUCUGCCUACUCAGACAAGUUGCACUCAUGCCCUGAUCAACGUUACCUGACCAACCGAGUUGAGACAAGCCCUUUUCUGCUCCAGACCAUCCAAUCCAAUCCCUUCAGUACAAAAUAAUCUUUAUAGGCAGGAUAGGCCAUUGGAAAGAAGAGAGAGUUGCAGAGAAACUCAAGGUGCGCUCUGAUGUUCUAUCUAAGAGGCAAGUGGAUGGACACCAUCAUGAAAAAUGCUCAUCUCUACAAUAAAAAUCAGACUAGAAGCUU